AACCACGCCCCCGAGAUUCUCAGAACUAAUUGAUAUUCUAUGACUGAGGCGACGUAUGGCUGCGAUGGCUGUGGUCGCGUGCAACACGCAGCCUCUACAUGUACAGCACACAGUGCGACAUCUCACUUAGCUAUAUUUCCUGCAGGUUUGCUGACUUCAUAGAUGGAGCUGAGCUGCUGCUGCGACUCAACACCGGGGUUUGUUGAACAAGGAAAGCUGUCAUAGAUUUGAUUUGAGUGUUUUCUCGUGAUUUGUCAGGGACUUGGUGCACUCGUGAGUUGUUGUAGAACGAAUGUUCUUUUAAUUGUGAUUCUGCGGGUGUUGAUGGUUUUUGUGUGUGUCCAGAUUUAAGGCUCAUUUUUAGAUGCUGUACAUGUAUAAUUAGCCUAUAAUUAAACUUGUUGCAGACUGAAAGUGUGGCAGUGGAUCUUUACAGACGUGACUUUGCUGUUGAGAGAAGUUCAUUUUUAAAGUGCAGUGCAACAGUGAGUUAGUUUGAAUUAUUUAUCUGUUGCUGUGACAUUAUGAGGAUGAUAAUUAUGCUAUAGUUAUAAUUGUGCAUAAUUAUGUACUGUGAUUAAUUGCACUCCUCAGUUUACUUGUGAUGUGGAAAGUUGUACAUGUUUUAUUGGUUAAUUGUCAUUAUUUGAUGUGGUCCAAACACAAAAAUACUGAGUAUAUUUCUGUAAUUGUCAGAGUCAGGCAAGAAUAAACUCUACAAAGUCUUUCUACGUCCCA